rnacentral:rRNA from 1 species
UACAGAGACUGCAAGCGUUUAUUCGGAUUCACUGGGCGUAAAGGGUGCGCAGGCGGCCGUGUGUGUGAGGCGUGAAAGCCCGGGGCUUUAAUCCCGGAAUUGCACCUCAAACUACAUGGCUAGAGCAUUGGAGAGGGUAGCGGAAUUCACGGUGUAGCAGUGAAAUGCGUAGAUAUCGGGAGGAACACCAGUGGCGAAGGCGAUCAUCUGUGGUUGUUCUGACACUGAGGAGCGAAAGCUAGGGAGCAAACGGG